AUUGAACGCUGGCGGCAUGCUUUACACAUGCAAGUCGAACGGCAGCGCGGGCUUCGGCCUGGCGGCGAGUGGCGAACGGGUGAGUAAUGCAUCGGAACGUGCCCAGUAGUGGGGGAUAGCCCGGCGAAAGCCGGAUUAAUACCGCAUACGACCUGAGGGUGAAAGCGGGGGACCGAAAGGCCUCGCGCUAUUGGAGCGGCCGAUGUCGGAUUAGCUAGUUGGUGGGGUAAAGGCUUACCAAGGCGACGAUCCGUAGCUGGUCUGAGAGGACGACCAGCCACACUGGGACUGAGACACGGCCCAGACUCCUACGGGAGGCAGCAGUGGGGAAUUUUGGACAAUGGGGGCAACCCUGAUCCAGCCAUGCCGCGUGCGGGAAGAAGGCCUUCGGGUUGUAAACCGCUUUUGUCCGGGAAGAAGUCCUCUGGGCUAAUACCCCGGGGGGAUGACGGUACCGGAAGAAUAAGCACCGGCUAACUACGUG
rnacentral:rRNA from 1 species